GACGAACGCUGGCGGCGUGCUUAACACAUGCAAGUCGAACGGAAACGCACUGCUUUUGUGGGGUGCUCGAGUGGCGAACGGGUGAGUAACACGUGAGUAACCUGCCCUUGACUUUGGGAUAACUUCAGGAAACUGGGGCUACUACCGGAUAGGAGCUCCUGCACCAUGGUGGGGGUUGGAAAUUUUCGGCGGGUGGGGAUGGACUGGCGGCUUAUCAGCUUGUUGGUGGGGUAGUGGCUUACCCAGGGUUUGACGGGUAGCCGGCCUGAGAGGGUGACCGGCCACAUUGGGACUGAGAUACGGCGCAGAGUGCUACGGGAGGCAGCAGUGGCGAAUAUUGCACAGUGGGCGGAAGCCUGAGGCAGCAACGCCGCGUGCGGGAUGACGGUCUUCGGGUUGUGAAACGCUUCCGGCUGUGACGAAGCGGGAGUGACGGUAAUGGGUAAAGAAGCACCGGCUAACUACGUG
rnacentral:rRNA from 1 species